rnacentral:rRNA from 1 species
CGAGCGCAACCCUUGUCCUUAGUUACCAGCACGUUAUGGUGGGCACUCUAAGGAGACUGCCGGUGACAACCGGAGGAAGGUGGGGAUGACGUCGAGGUCAUCAUGGCCCUUACGGCCUGGGCUACGACACGUGCUACAAUGGUCGGGUACAAAGGGUUGCCAAGCCGCGAGGUGGAGCUAAUCCCAUAAAAACCGAUCGUAGUCCGGAUCGCAGUCUGCAACUCGACUGCGUGAAGUCGGAAUCGCUAGUAAUCGUGAAUCAGAAUGUCACGGUGAAUACGUUCCCGGGCCUU